AUUUUCUCACCGUGAACUAAAUCGGUCUGUCGUAUAUUUUGAAAUCCUGUUCCAAAUUUGCAUGAAUUUGGAACAAAGGCGUAUAACUGUUGGGAAUUUUGAAAUCGAUAACUGUGCUAAAACAGCAAUUUACGACACCGGUGCCAGGCGGACUGUUUUAGCGUGGUCGAAAACCGUGUUUUGCAUCUACCGUUGGGACAGCCCUUAUUCCUUUCCAGUUGAGAAUGCGGUUUUGUUUAGUGGAGAAAUCCUGUGAGUGAUAUCGAAUCCCGGUCACGGCAUACAUAGUACACUUUCGGUGGGUUGGUGGUUUUAGCAUUUGUAAGAUGCUAGCCAUCAUAUCCCCGAAAGAUGUACGCUUAGAAUUAAGAAAAAAGGAAUCUCUUCGAGGAAACAUCAUGUUUCAUUGAGAUCCUGUAUGUGUUUGUGUUUAUUCAAGACAAAAAUCCUGGAGCGUCGUGACUGGCUAGAUUCAGACAAGAUGUUCCGGAAGCUUUCAGUCAACGAAAAUAACACCUUGGAAUAAAUAUUUUUGACCGACGAACGAAUGAAAAAUGCAGUGCAAUCGAAAUGCAGGGCUGGCUGGUUGCUGCAGUUACCUCCUGGUCAGUAAAAUGCAGGAUUCAUCGAAAGUCCGUCGAUGUGACAUUGAAGAGAUGCUUGGAAUAGAUACUCCUGUUAACGGAUAUUACUUAUGGCAAACGGGACCAGAAAGUGUUUGUAUCAGACUUUCAUACCUUUGAAUUGUCGCAUAUUUGGUAUGACGAAGAUGUUCGAACAGGGAAAAUGGCGAAAUACUUUUGAAAAUGGAUCUGUUUAUAAGAGCGUGCAAACAAUUAAAACCUCUCGAAAAAAAAUGACUAGAUAACAAAAGUUGGUAUCCGAGAAUAAAUCUUCUACAUUUUUA